CGACCCCAGGUUAGACGGGGCUACCCACUGAGUUUAAGCAUAUUAAUAAGUGGAGGAAAAGAAACUUACAAGGAUUUCCUUAGUAACGAUGAGCGAACUGGGAAGAGCCUAGCUUGAGAAUCGGACAACAAUGUUGUUCGAAUUGUAGUCUAAAGAAGCAUCCUCACCGAUGGACCGGGCCCAAGUCCCUUGGAAGGGGGUGCCAGAGUCGGUGAGAGCCCCAUCGUGCUCGGACCCUGUUGCAUUACGAAGCUCUGUUGGCGAGUCGGGUUGUCUAGGAAUGGAACCCUAAUUUGGCGGUAAAUUUCGUCCAAAGCUAAAUAUUUGCAAGAGACCGAUAGCAAACAAGUACCGCAAGGGAAAGAUGAAAAUGACUUUGAAAAGAGAGUAAAAGAGUGCUGGAAAUUAUCAGGAGGGAACCAGAUGACGGCUGGUGAUGCAUCCCUGUUGGAUGUGGAAUGGUGAUAAGACGGUCCAUCGAUCAACUCGGGAUGUGGAUCGAUGCGGAUUGUGGUAGCGUCUUAAGCCCAGGCUGUUGAUAUGCUUAUAGGGAUGUUGUUGCUAUGAUCAUGGUGGGUAGUGUGCGCUGUUAUGGCAUGCUUAUGCACUUGUGUGCUCAGGCAUUGGCCUGCAGGCUCCUCAUUUGACCCGUCUUGAAACACGGACCAAGGAGUCUAACAUGUGUGUGAGUCAAUGAGUGAGUAAACUCGUAAGGCGUAAGGAAGCUAAUUAGCAAGAUACCCUUGUGGGUUGCACCGCUGACCGACCUUAAUCUUAUGAGAAGGGUUCGAGUGUGAGCAUGCCUGUCGGGACCUGAAAGAUGGUGAACUAUGCCUGAGCAGGGCGAAGCCAGAGGUAACUCUGGUGGAGGCCCACAGUGAUACUAACAUGCAACUCGUUCAUCUGACUUGGGUAUAAGGGAGAAAGACUAAUCGAACCAUCGAGUAGUUGGUUCCUUCCAAAGUUUCCCUUAGGAUAGUAGGAGCUUUGUCAAGUUCUAUCAGGUAAAGCCAAUGAUUAGAGGCAUCGGGGGCACAACACCCUCAACCUAUUCUCAAACUUUAAAUAGGUAGGAUAACAUGGUUGCUUUGUUGAGCCAUGGUACGCAAUCGGUAGCUCUAAGUGGGCCAUUUUUGGUAAGCAGAACUGGUGAUGCGGGAUGAACCAGAAGUCGGGUUACGGUGCCUAACUGUGCGCUAACCUAGAACCCACAAAGGGUGUUGGUCGAUUAAGACAGUAGGACGGUGGUCAUGGAAGUCAAAAUCCAUUAAGGAGUGUGUAACAACUCACCGGCUAAAUCAACUAGCCCCGAAAAUGGAUGGCUCUAAAGUGCACGACCUAUACUUGGUCUUCGAGGCAAUUGCCAGGUCUCGAUGAGUAGGAGGGCACGGCGGUUGUUGCAAAACCUUGGACAUGAGCUUAGGUGGAGCUGCCAUCGGUGCGGAUCUUGGUGGUGGUAGCAAAUAAUCAAAUAAGAACUUUGAAGGCCAAAGAGAGAAAAGGUUCCAUGUGAACGACAUUUUCACAUGGGUUAGUAGAUCCUGAAAAGCAAAGGAAACCCAUUUGAUAACACCGAGUGCACAGACUUCGAAAAGGAAUCGGGUCAAAAUUCCUGAACCAGAAUAUGGCAGUUGACGGUAAUAUUAUAAAGUCCGAAGACAUCACCGUGGAACUCAGGAAGAGUUAUCAUUUCUAUUUAACAGCUUGCCCACCCUAAAAAUGGCUCAGCCGAAGGUACGGUCCAGCGGCUGGAACAACACCACACAUUGCGCGGUGUCUGAUGCACCUUUCGUGACCCUUGAAAAUCUGAAGGACCGAGUGCUGUCCACACCCGGUCGUACUCAUAACCGCAUCAGGUCUCUAAGGUGAACAACCACUGGUCAAUGGAACAAUGUAGGCAAGGAAAGAUGGCAAAAUUAAUUUGUAACCUUGAGAAAAGGAUUGGCUCAAAGGGCUAGGCACGAGGGUCUCAGUCUCAAAACCGUGUAGCUGUCGAUGGACUACUCGAGCUGCUUUCGUAGUGAAAGCGGGUCGUUGCGUGUUGCUCGAGGGACGAAUUGCGAUGGUCCCUGCGGAUGCUCACGUAAUCUGAUUUCUGCCCGGUGCUCUGAAUGUCAAAGUAAAGAAAAUCAACCAAGUGCGGGUAAACGACGGGAGUAACUAUGACUCUUUUAAGGUAGCCAAAUGCCUCGUCAUCUAAUUAGUGAUGCGCAUGAAUGGACUAAUGAGAUUCCCACUGUCUCUGUCUACUAUCUAGCGAAACCACAGCCAAAGGAAUAGGUUUGGUAGAAUUAGCGGGGAAAGAAGACCCUGUUAAGCUUGACUCUAGUUCGACUUUGUGAAAUGAGUUGAGAGGUGUAGGAUAAGUGGGAGUCGGAAAUGGCGCAAGUGAAAUACCACUACUUUUAACAUUAUUUUACUUAUUCCGUGAAUCGGAGGCAGGGUUAUCCCCCCUUUUUUUGGACCCAAGGCUUGCUUCGAUGGGCCAAUCUGAGCGGAAGACAUUGUCAGGUGGGGAGUUUGGCUGGGGCGGCACAUCUGUUAAAAGAUAACGUGGGUGUCCUAAGAUGAGCUUAACGAGAAUAGAAAUCUCGUGUGCAACAAAAAGGUAAAAGCUCGUUUGAUUCUGAUUUUCAGUAUGAAUACGAAUCAUGAAAGCAUGGCCUAUCGAUCCUUUAGACCUUCGAAAUUUGAAGAUAGAGGGGUCAGAAAAGUUACCACAGGGAUAACUGGCUUGUGGCAGCCAAGCAUUCAUAGUGACGUUGCUUUUUGAUCCUUCGAUGUCGGCUCUUCCUAUCAUUAUGAAGUAGAAUUCACUAAGUGUUGGAUUGUUCACCCACUAAUAGGGAACGUGAGCUAGGUUUAGAUCAUCAUGAGACAGGUUAGUUUUACCUUACUGAUGACAGUGUUGCAAUAGUAAUUCAACCUAGUACGAGAGGAACCACUGAUUCGCACAAUUGGUCAUUGCGCUUGGUUGAAAAGCCAGUGGCGCGAAGCUACCAUGCAUUGGAUUAUGACUGAACGCCUCUAAGUAAGAAUCCAGGCUAGAAGCGAUACACGUGCCCAUUGCCCAUUUGCCGACCCUUAGUAAGGGCUUUAUAGCCCCCAAAGGCAUGUGUCGAAGGUCAAGACCUCGCGGUAGAUGAGUCGUGUAGGCUUCCUUGAAGUAAAAUUUCUACCAAAUAGUGGGUAGAAUCCUUUGCAAAUGAAUUAAAUAUGUGACGGGGUAUUGUAAAUUGCAGAGUGGCCUUGCUGCCUCGAUCCACUAAGAUUCAGUCCUAUGUCACUUCGAUUUGU